UUUCUACCGAGUUUGGCAUAAAAAAUUUCAACGAUCAGUUAGACCGCAAGACGGUGGUCGUAUAUGGUACGUACAAAUAACGGGUAGUAACCAAACGCAAUAUGUUUCUAAAAAUAAUAAAACGAUAGUGCAAAAUAAAAUUUCUUAGUUUCAUUGGUGAGCGUGUUUUAUAAAUGACCGAAAAAGGCAAUUUGGGAAUUUUUUUUGUCAUUUGAAGACUGAUUAGGUUUUAUUAUUUUCUGUGAUAUUGUGUAUAAGUGUUUUUUUAAAAGGAAUACAAUGGAUAGUGGACACUACCCGGUUAUUGUGGUCCUGUUGCUCGUUUCUUUGAUUCGAGUUUCCAUCGACGCCGCCACGUUGUCGUCAACACCGCCAAGUAAGUAUCAACAAUUAAAACUAAAUUACAUUUCACUGCCAUCUCUCGUAUUCAUAU